AACUCCACAUACGCAUCCUUUGCUGAGGAUACGGUUAACGGAGCGAAAGCGACGUUCAACCGCAAAAGAAGCAGAGGGGGCUUAGUGGUGGGGUGACUGCGUACCUUUUGUAUAAUGGGUCAGCGACUUAUAUUCUGUAGCAAGGUUAACCGAAUAGGGGAGCCGGAGGGAAACCGAGUCUUAACCGGGCGUUAAGUUGCAGGGUAUAGACCCGAAACCCGGUGAUCUAGCCAUGGGCAGGUUGAAGGUUGGGUAACACUAACUGGAGGACCGAACCGACUAAUGUUGAAAAAUUAGCGGAUGACCUGUGGCUGGGGGUGAAAGGCCAAUCAAACCGGGAGAUAGCUGGUUCUCCCCGAAAGCUAUUUAGGUAGCGCCUCGUGAAUUCAUCUCCGGGGGUAGAGCACUGUUUCGGCUAGGGGGCCAUCCCGGCUUACCAACCCGAUGCAAACUGCGAAUACCGGAGAAUGUUAUCACGGGAGACACACGGCGGGUGCUAACGUCCGUCGUGAAGAGGGAAACAACCCAGACCGCCAGCUAAGGUCCCAAAGUCAUGGUUAAGUGGGAAACGAUGUGGGAAGGCCCAGACAGCCAGGAUGUUGGCUUAGAAGCAGCCAUCAUUUAAAGAAAGCGUAAUAGCUCACUGGUCGAGUCGGCCUGCGCGGAAGAUGUAACGGGGCUAAACCAUGCACCGAAGCUGCGGCAGCGAACGUAUCACUUAAAGCGAUUCAGCGGGUUACGAUUGACGGAGCGAAGCGACGUCAAAGCGUAUACAAAGUCGAGUCGGUUUAAGGAUACGUUCGUUGGGUAGGGGAGCGUUCUGUAAG
rnacentral:rRNA from 1 species